UGAACGCUGGCGGCAGGCCUAACACAUGCAAGUCGAACGGCAGCACAGAAGAGCUUGCUCUUUGGGUGGCGAGUGGCGGACGGGUGAGUAAUGUCUGGGAAACUGCCUGAUGGAGGGGGAUAACUACUGGAAACGGUAGCUAAUACCGCAUAACGUCGCGAGACCAAAGUGGGGGACCUUCGGGCCUCACACCAUCGGAUGUGCCCAGAUGGGAUUAGCUAGUAGGUGGGGUAAUGGCUCACCUAGGCGACGAUCCCUAGCUGGUCUGAGAGGAUGACCAGCCACACUGGAACUGAGACACGGUCCAGACUCCUACGGGAGGCAGCAGUGGGGAAUAUUGCACAAUGGGCGCAAGCCUGAUGCAGCCAUGCCGCGUGUAUGAAGAAGGCCUUCGGGUUGUAAAGUACUUUCAGCGGGGAGGAAGGCGGUGAGGUUAAUAACCUCGCCGAUUGACGUUACCCGCAGAAGAAGCACCGGCUAACUCCGUGCCAGCAGCCGCGGUAAUACGGAGGGUGCAAGCGUUAAUCGGAAUUACUGGGCGUAAAGCGCACGCAGGCGGUCUGUUAAGUCAGAUGUGAAAUCCCCGGGCUUAACCUGGGAACUGCAUUUGAAACUGGCAGGCUUGAGUCUCGUAGAGGGGGGUAGAAUUCCCAGGUGUAGCGGUGAAAUGCGUAGAGAUCUGGAGGAAUACCGGUGGCGAAGGCGGCCCCCUGGACGAAGACUGACGCUCAGGUGCGAAAGCGUGGGGAGCAAACAGGAUUAGAUACCCCUGGUAGUCCACGCCGUAAACGAUGUCGACUUGGAGGUUGUGCCCUUGAGGCGUGGCUUCCGGAGCUAACGCGUUAAGUCGACCGCCUGGGGAGUACGGCCGCAAGGUUAAAACUCAAAUGAAUUGACGGGGGCCCGCACAAGCGGUGGAGCAUGUGGUUUAAUUCGAUGCAACGCGAAGAACCUUACCUGGCCUUGACAUCCAGAGAACUUAGCAGAGAUGCUUUGGUGCCUUCGGGAACUCUGAGACAGGUGCUGCAUGGCUGUCGUCAGCUCGUGUUGUGAAAUGUUGGGUUAAGUCCCGCAACGAGCGCAACCCUUAUCCUUUGUUGCCAGCGGCUCGGCCGGGAACUCAAAGGAGACUGCCGGUGAUAAACCGGAGGAAGGUGGGGAUGACGUCAAGUCAUCAUGGCCCUUACGGCCAGGGCUACACACGUGCUACAAUGGCGCAUACAAAGAGAAGCGACCUCGCGAGAGCAAGCGGACCUCAUAAAGUGCGUCGUAGUCCGGAUUGGAGUCUGCAACUCGACUCCAUGAAGUCGGAAUCGCUAGUAAUCGUAGAUCAGAAUGCUACGGUGAAUACGUUCCCGGGCCUUGUACACACCGCC
rnacentral:rRNA from 1 species